rnacentral:lncRNA from 1 species
GAAGAAGAUUAUUGCAAGAGGUCCCAUCUAUGGUGGUCAGGAGCACAGUUAAUUUGCAUUUUGGUUUAUGUAUUUUGGUUUAUGUUGUAAUUUAAAAAAAAGAAUCCUACUUACAGUAUGCCUACACAAAAAGUGUAAAUUGAAGUGGCCAGUUCCACAAAGUCAAGAGCUGUAUUCCUCAUUAUGCACCAGUUGUGCUCCUUUGCUAUGUGACAGGGAAUAUAAACCUUGACUUCUGAACUAGCAGCAAAUUGUCAGUGCAGUUGAUGGUAGUUGACUUACACUGCUGUGCAUAAAUGGUAGGAUUCUCACCUCUCUGUGUGUCUGAGACAGAUGGUGCAGAGGCUCAGGGGUGGAUGAAUUUCAAGGGGGACAUAUUUAUUCCAGACAUAGCUCAGAAGCUUGGGAAAUUAUGGGAAAGACAAGAGUGUUUCUGAGCAUGACUAAAUGGUAUGGUUGGAAGCCAUCUCACAAGGUUUACCAGGGUGACAGCAUCCCAUUCUUGAAUUUUCAGGUUCGAAGCCUGACACCUCCAGAUGGACCCCAGAAUCUGAAAUCAAAACCUCCAAAUCUGCUUUUCACUUUCCCGUCUACGGCAACACAAUGACAUAUAGUUUGAAGAAAUUACUUUCAUGGAUCAAAAUAUCCAGAAUCUUUGCCAGAAUGGCCCCCUAUCUAUGGUGACUGCAGGAUUCAUGGAUUUGUCAUCCAAAACAAACUAACUAACUAACUAACAAAAAAAAUCAACAAAAAAUCUUUUCUACAGAGUUUGAAAAAGUUACUCUUUUGACCUGCCCUGUCCAGCCCUUCUGUCGAGUGUACAAGCUGGGAGCUGUAGUACAAAAAAAGGAUGUUUUCAAACUCUGCUUUCCCCAACUGUGCUGAACACAAGAGGUUUUGCUCAUUUUGUGUCCCAAGUCGAAAUUUGAAGUACUGUAUAAGUUCUUGAAACGUAGAGCCUAAAUCCAAAGCUAUGUCUUGUUCUUUUUAAGCCUCUUGUGAGCUUUAGAGCAAACUGAAGGGCCCCCAUCUCCAAGCAUUGCCCAA